CCUUUUUAGACCCAAACAAAUCAUGAGUGCGAAAUCAUACCUGAAUUGAUAUUUCGUUUCAAUAAUCAACCCAAACUUCACUCCGUUAUAUAAAUUCCUGCCUUGACUAACUUGUCGUCAGUCCACCGUUAAACCAUGCCUAAUCCGUUAACGGUUUAAUCAGAGACAAGGAGAAAACGACGUCGUUUGAUUCAUUAAUCAAAACGACGCCGUUUUGAAUUGGGGGAAAAUCAAAAUCGAAAACCCUAGCCCUUUUGUUCUUCUUCCCCAACACUCUCACGGGUCUCUCUGCAACUCGAAAAUCAC
rnacentral:lncRNA from 1 species